rnacentral:rRNA from 1 species
UUUGAUCAUGGCUCAGGACGAACGCUGGCGGCGUGCCUAACACAUGCAAGUCGAACGGAGUCAGAAAGCUUGCUUUUUGACUUAGUGGCGGACGGGUGAGUAACGCGUGAGUAACCUGCCUCUGAGAGGGGAAUAACGUUCUGAAAAGAACGCUAAUACCGCAUAACGUAUCGAAGCCGCAUGACUUUGAUACCAAAGAUUUUAUCGCUCGGAGAUGGACUCGCGUCCGAUUAGUUAGUUGGUGAGGUAACGGCUCACCAAGACCGCGAUCGGUAGCCGGACUGAGAGGUUGAUCGGCCACAUUGGGACUGAGACACGGCCCAGACUCCUACGGGAGGCAGCAGUGGGGGAUAUUGCGCAAUGGGGGCAACCCUGACGCAGCAACGCCGCGUGAAGGAUGAAGGUUUUCGGAUUGUAAACUUCUUUUAUCAGGGACGAAGCUUGACGGUACCUGAUGAAUAAGCUCCGGCUAACUACGUGCCAGCAGCCGCGGUAAUACGUAGGGAGCAAGCGUUGUCCGGAUUUACUGGGUGUAAAGGGUGCGUAGGCGGCCGAGUAAGUCAGAUGUGAAGUCUAUGGGCUCAACCCAUAAACUGCAUUUGAAACUACCCGGCUUGAGUGAAGUAGAGGCAGGCGGAAUUCCCUGUGUAGCGGUGAAAUGCGUAGAGAUAGGGAGGAACACCAGUGGCGAAGGCGGCCUGCUGGGCUUUAACUGACGCUGAGGCACGAAAGCGUGGGUAGCAAAC